rnacentral:rRNA from 1 species
GUGAGGAAUAUUGGACAAUGGGGGCAACCCUGAUCCAGCCAUGCCGCGUGUGUGAAGAAGGCCUUAGGGUUGUAAAGCACUUUCGGCUGUGAAGAUAAUGACAGUAGCAGAAGAAGAAGCUCCGGCUAAAUUCGUGCCAGCAGCCGCGGUAAUACGGAGGGUGCAAGCGUUAUCCGGAUUCACUGGGUUUAAAGGGUGCGUAGGCGGGCAGGUAAGUCAGUGGUGAAAUCCUAGAGCUUAACUCUAGAACUGCCAUUGAUACUAUCUGUCUUGAAUAUUGUGGAGGUAAGCGGAAUAUGUCAUGUAGCGGUGAAAUGCUUAGAUAUGACAUAGAACACCUAUUGCGAAGGCAGCUUACUACGCAUAUAUUGACGCUGAGGCACGAAAGCGUGGGGAUCAAACAGGAUUAGAAACCCGAGUAGUCC